GGCACUGUGGCUCAAGUGGUAGAGCGUUAGCCUUAAGCUGAAGAGCUCAGGGACAGUGCCU
rfam:Dipodomys ordii contig_25786, whole genome shotgun sequence.